AUACGUAGGGUGCAAGCGUUAAUCGGAAUUACUGGGCGUAAAGCGUGCGCAGGCGGUUCGGAAAGAAGGAUGUGAAAUCCCAGGGCUCAACCUUGGAACUGCAUUCUUAACUACCGAACUAGAGUAUGUCAGAGGGGGGUAGAAUUCCGCGUGUAGCAGUGAAAUGCGUAGAUAUGCGGAGGAAUACCGAUGGCGAAGGCAGCCCCCUGGGAUAAUACUGACGCUCAUGCACGAACGCGUGGGUAGCAAACAGGAUUAGAUACCCUGGUAGUCCACGCCCUAAACGAUGUCAACUAGCUGUUGGGCCCUUCGGGGCUUAGUAGCGUAGCUAACGCGUGAAGUUGACCGCCUGGGGAGUACGGGCGCAAGAUUAAAACUCAAAUGAAUUGGCGGGG
rnacentral:rRNA from 1 species